UACGUAGGGGCAAGCGUUGUCCGGAUUAUUGGCGUAAAGAGCGUGUAGGCGGCCAGGUAGGUCUGCUGUGAAAACUCGAGGCUUAACCUCGAGAUGUCGGCGGAAACCAUCUGGCUAGAGUCCGGAAGAGGAGAAUGGAAUUCCCGGUGUAGCGGUGAAAUGCGCAGAUAUCGGGAAGAACACCCGUGGCGAAGGCGGUUCUCUGGGACGGUACUGACGCUGAGACGCGAAAGCGUGGGGAGCGAACAGG
rnacentral:rRNA from 1 species